UCCUGGUGGCUCAGAGGAUAAAGCAUCUGCCUGCAAUGCAGGAGACCUGGGUUCGACCCCAGGGUCAGGAA
rnacentral:tRNA from 1 species